rnacentral:rRNA from 1 species
UACGUAGGGUGCAAGCGUUGUCCGGAAUUAUUGGGCGUAAAGAGCUCGUAGGCGGUCUGUCGCGUCGGCUGUGAAAACUCGGGGCUCAACUCCGAGCUUGCAGUCGAUACGGGCAGGCUAGAGUUCGGCAGGGGAGACUGGAAUUCCUGGUGUAGCGGUGAAAUGCGCAGAUAUCAGGAGGAACACCGGUGGCGAAAGCGGCUCACUGGACCACAACUGACGCUGAGGCGCGAAAGCUAGGGGAGCAAACAGG